rfam:Candidatus Micrarchaeum sp. AZ1 Contig2, whole genome shotgun sequence.
AGUCCCGUCGUCUAGUGGCCAAGGACGCAGGGCUUUGGACCCUGCUACGUCGGUUCGAAUCCGGCCGGGACUA